GUAGGUGAACCUGCGGAAGGAUCAUUAACACGUUUUACCAAAAACGUUAAACUACCAUAUCAAAAACCAAUCGCGAACUAACGUAGGUACAUUAAUAGUGUUCAGAUUAAGUUGAUCUUGGCCAAAAGACUCAGAGUCGCAAGGCUCUGUCUGGUUUGAGCUAUAACAAACGCAGAGGUGGGUGCUGCGGGCUCAAAUUGGAUUUCAAUCCUGGAGGUUUUUUGUUCUGAACAUUAGUACCGAUCAACCC
rnacentral:misc_RNA from 1 species